UGUCUUAUAAAUAAAGACCUGUAUGAAUGGCUAAAUGAGUAUUUAACUGUCUCCUUUAACUAAUCAGUGAAACUGAUCUUACAGUCCAAAAGCUGUAAUAAAAAAAUAAGACGAGAAGACCCUGUGGAGCUUUAAACUUUUAACAAGAUACCCUUACAAGAGACAUCUAUGCUAAAAAUUUUUAAGUUGGGGCGACUUUGGAGUAAAAGAAAACCUCCAAGAAUUAGGCACCGCCUAAACACCAGGCCUACUAGCCAAACUAAUAAGACCCAGUAUAACUGAUCAACGAACCAAGUUACCCCAGGGAUAACAGCGCCAUCUUCUUCAAGAGUUCAUAUCGACAAGAAGGCUUACGACCUCGAUGUUGGAUCAGGACACCCAAAUGGUGUAACCGCUAUUAAAGGUUCGUUUGUUCAACGAUUAAUAGUCCUACGUGAU
rnacentral:rRNA from 1 species